rnacentral:lncRNA from 1 species
UCACUGCAGCUGCAUUUGUGACCACUGUUGCAUUGCUAUGGAGGUACAGGAAUCUGAUCAGAUUUGAAAGCAAGACCUUUGAUGAAGAUCAAUGCUGUAAGGAAGUAACAAUGCUGUUACAUACAAGAAAUAGGAAUCGAAAGAAGUGGAAGGAUAACUUACAAAAUCUCAAUGCAUUUCCUUAGUUGGUUGAGAAUUAGAUGUUAGUUUGCUUUGUAUAUAACAUGCUUACUUAAGAACCAAUUGUAACUAGAAGGAGAGGAAUGAGUAGCAGAAGUCCAUACUACUACAUUAGGACUCAUUGUAUAUUUUUUUGAUAUCAAUACACACUGUCAGUUAAGCUAA